rnacentral:rRNA from 1 species
UGUCUUUUUGAGUUAUAUUUAAAGUCUAACCUGCCCACUGAGUAUUAAAUGGCCGCAGUAUACUAACUGUGCAAAGGUAGCAUAAUAAUUAGUCUUUUAAUUGAAGGCUGGAAUGAAUGGUUGGACGAAAUAUAAACUGUUUCAUAAUAAUUUAACUUAGAACUUUAUUUUUUAGUCAAAAAGCUAAAAUAUUUUUAAAAGACGAGAAGACCCUAUAAAGCUUUAUAAAUAAGUAUAUAAAAAUUUAUAAGAUAUAUUGUAUUUUUAUAUAUUUAUUUAUUUUAUUGGGGUGAUAUUAAAAUUUAAUAAACUUUUAAUUAAUUAGUACACUAAUGCGUGAAUUAAUGAUCCACAUGAGUGAUUAAAAAUUUAAGUUACUUUAGGGAUAACAGCGUAAUUUUUUUGGAGAGUUCAUAUCGAUAAAAAAGAUUGCGACCUCGAUGUUGGAUUAAGGAAUAAGUUUAGGCGCAGCCGUUUAAAUGAUAAGUCUGUUCGACUUUUAAACCCUUACAUGAUCUGAGUU